rnacentral:lncRNA from 1 species
UCCGCUAUAAAACUGCACCUCCUUUAAUUUCUGUCUCCGUUGCACUGUAUUGAUUCACUGUCUCCUCCUUCCAGGGCGCAACGCUUGCUCGUUUCAUCUCUGCUGCCAUGCCACAGGUAGCACAGUACAAGGUCGCGCUAUGCCAGCUGCCGGUUUCCCCAGACAAGCACGGCAACAUCGCCCGCGCGCGCGCCCGCAUCGAGGCCGCCGCAACCGCCGGCGCCAAGCUCGUCGUCCUGCCGGCAAG